UGCAGCACUCAUGCCAACUCUGAAAACUACGCUAAGUAAAGCUAGGCCAGUCAGUACUUGGAUGGGAGACCUUCAAGGAAAUACCAGGUAUUCAGUAA
rnacentral:rRNA from 1 species